rnacentral:rRNA from 1 species
GACGAACGCUGGCGGCGUGCCUAAUACAUGCAAGUAGAACGCUGAAGGAGGAGCUUGCUUCUCUGGAUGAGUUGCGAACGGGUGAGUAACGCGUAGGUAACCUGCCUGGGAGCGGGGGAUAACUAUUGGAAACGAUAGCUAAUACCGCAUAAUAGUAGAUGUUGCAUGACAUUUGCUUAAAAGGUGCAAUGGCAUGACUACCAGAUGGACCUGCGGUGUAUUAGCUAGUUGGUGAGGUAACGGCUCACCAAGGCGACGAUACAUAGCCGACAUGAGAGGGGGGUCGACCACACUGGGACUGGGACACGGCCCAGACGCCUACGGGAGGCAGCAGUAGGGACUCUUCGGCAAUGGACGGAAGUCCGACCGAGCAACGCCGCGUGAGUGAUGAAGGUUUUCGGCUCGUAAAGCUCUGUUGUACGGGUAGAAAGACUGUGAGAGUGGAAAGUUCACACUGGGACCGUAACUUACCAGAAAGGCACGGCUAACUACGUG